rnacentral:pre_miRNA from 1 species
GGAAACUUGGAAACUACCGUUGGAUCGAGAAAUGGACGUCCGAGAUUCAUCCACAUCACCAUGAGUUAAAAUUUAACUCGCAGAUGCAGUCAUGAGUUAAAAUUUUACUGGGAGUUAAAUUUUAACUCAUGUUAAAUUUUAACUCAUGGUGACGUGGACGAAUCUCGGACGUCCAUUUCUCGAUCCAUCGGUAGUUUCCAAGUUUCC